rnacentral:lncRNA from 1 species
GGUCGGCUCGACAGAUUCAUCCGACAUUGACCUGAACGAAGGAUCGACCGAGGGCCCUGCCACAGCCAGAGCCACCAAGGGGAGAGGAACAGCCUGAGGAUCGGCCUCCAAUCGGGAUCCUCCACACCAUCUCUGGAGGACCCCGAUGGGGAGCAGCCAGUGGAUCGGCCAUACUGCCCAAGCGGUAGAGGACUGAAGAGUCUAUAACCUUUACUGAAAAAGAUGCCCGGG